UACGUAGGUGACAAGCGUUGUCCGGAUUUACUGGGCGUAAAGAGCGCGCAGGCGGUCGAUCAAGUCGAGUGUGAAAGCCCCCGGCUCAACUGGGGAGGGUCAUUCGAUACUGAUCGACUCGAAGGCAGGAGAGGGUAGUGGAAUUCCCGGUGUAGUGGUGAAAUGCGUAGAUAUCGGGAGGAACACCAGUGGCGAAGGCGACUACCUGGCCUGUUCUUGACGCUGAGGCGCGAAAGCUAGGUGAGCAAACGGG
rnacentral:rRNA from 1 species